UCAAAAAAAGAAGGAGGUUACUCAAUUCGACCGUAUAUAUAUAUAUUUUUUUUAUGUAUGUUCGGAGAUAACUUCUUCGUUUAUGAACCGAUUUUGAUAAUUCUUUUUUUUUUUUUGGAAAGGAGAUAUUCAUAGUUUGGUACCAUGAUAAGGAAACCAGGAUCUGAUGAUGGGAUCCCAGAGAAAUUGAGGGAAACUUUCAAAAAUCGUAAGGAUGACUAGUAAAUUUAAUCAUGUUUUCAUUAGGUACUAUAAAGCACUACUAUUUAAUAAAGGUCUGGAGUCGAUCUGAUGAUGGAGAAGAGAGAUAGUCGAGGGAACUCUUCAACAAUUUAUAGCAAUUACCUGCUUUUUGAACUUAAUUCGUUUCUAUUGAUGAGAACUUUGCACCUGUAUGAGUUAUAAGUGCCAUUACAGUCUGAUAAUGGAGACAAAAUUAGUCGAGGGAACUCUUUAACGAUUUAUAGCAAUUACCUGCUGUUUGAACUUAAUCCGUUUCUAUUGAUGA
rnacentral:misc_RNA from 1 species